AGCCAGCACUGGCAGCUUGGUCGGGUCUGCUUCCUUGCUGUGGAGGCUUUGUUUUUUACUCUUUGCAGUAAAUCUUGCUGCUGCUCACUCUUUGGGUCCGCACUGCUUUUGUGAGCUGUAACACUCACGGAGAAGGUCUGCAGCUUCAUUCCUGAGCCAGCGAGACCACCAACCCGCCAGGAGGAAGAAACCCCGAACACACCCGAACAUCAGAAGGAACAAACUCCGAACACGCCGCCUUUAAGAACUGUAACACUUUAAGAACGCGAGGGUCCGUGGCUUCAUUCUUGAAGUCACUGAGACCAAGAACCCACCAAUUCCGGACACAAAGGCAUCGUUGCACUCCAGCCUGAGUGACAAGAGUGAAACCCUGUCUUAAAAAUAAGCUUCCAUUGAUGACCAGCUUUGGCUGUUCCAACUCACCACAGCCUCUAAAAGACUCACGCUUUCUUUGGAUUCCUUCAUACCUGCAGCAUGUUUCCAUGCCUGGGAGGGAGAAUGAGUAAGUGAACAGCUUACUCUUACUGGAACAUUCCAAUGCUCUUACAGAUAACAACCAAGUGAAUGAAAACAAAAAGUUCAGGCAUUCACUGGCAAAAUCCAACUCUGAACAGGAUCUCACUCUGUAGCCCAGGCUGGAGUGUCGUGGCCUGAUCUCGGCUCAGUGCAGCUUUGACCUCCCCAGCUCAAGUGAUCCUCCCACCUCAGCCUCCCGAGUAGCUGGGACCACAGAUAUGGACCACAAGUCUCAGAAGAGUAGGAAGUGCCCAGCAUCACACAGGAAGCAAGUUACAGAACACAAGGACUCUGUUCGUAAACUCUUCAACAUCUUUUAUCACAUAAGGGCUCAUAGGUCCAACUAACUGAAAGCCUCAAUUUGUGGGAAGAAGAGAAGCGAGGCUGGGGACACAGCACAAACGGUGUUUACGCCACUGAAGUUCUUUUGAAAUGGAAAGGCUCUGCAUGAAGAAGCGAACAGUUAUGCCACUGCCUCGCCAAUUCCAGUGAGGAGCUCAUCUUCAAUGUAGUGUUCAACGUAGGUGGCAAAACUGUAAUUUUUCCCUUUUUUGAAACUAUUUUUUCUUCUUUUAUUUUUGAAAUUCUCAUCUAAGCGACAGUUUCUUGUACUAUAGUGACUCCUGCUGGGAGAGGUAAGUUGAAGUAGCUGAAGGUCUCUUACAGAUAUAUCAACUCCCGGCCAGUAAAAAAGAUGUCCUAAACGCAGGAGAUGGAGUUAAACUGUUCCCCUACCUUGGACGCAAUGGCUUCUUUCAUCACUAAGAACAAACCCCUAGGUUUUACAAUUGAGACUGAGAAACUAGUACAGUACUUGUACAAUUUUUGAUCUACAGCAUCACGACGUGAAGCUGCAACAAUUAGAUGUAAAGGGUCCAUUCAUGAGGAAUAACAUCACUUUGACCCUUUGUGUUAGCUCCUACUGCUAAUCUUUCCAUAAGCGUGAACUUACUUUCAAUUUGAAGAAGAUGAAAAAGUCUUUUGCAAAACCCCAAUACUGUUUUCUGAUCUAUGUACCUGAAUGGAGAAACGUAGUCUUACCUCGUUUUUUUCCACUACAAGCCAAGCUACUUGUAAUCCUUCCAAACCUUUAAAGGGGACCUCCCUUGUUAGCAUCUCCCAGAGAACCUGGAACAAAAAGAAAAUGGAAUUUUUAUUCUCGUACUUUAUAUUUUUUGGUACAUAUUACUGAAACUUUAUCUAACAUGUAAUUGUAUCUAAUUACCAGACACAACCAACCCCAUCUGUAGAAACUUGGGCAAAACAAUUAUGCUCAUGCACACAACUUCCAUAUAUUAAAUACUUUUUAGGUUCUUUUUUAUAAAGAAAAAACCUGGUUUAGAAAUUAGGACAUCUAGAGCCAGACUUAAAAUUUUAUGAAACCAAUGGGCCUGACUGAUUUAAUGUCAUCUCAUAAAUUAUCAGAACUUUUAUGUUCUCACAAAUUAGAUUUUGUAUUUUGUUAGUUAAAACUCUUUCUGCCUUCAAUUUCUGACACAUUUGUGUAGGAAAUAAUAACUGGGAAUUCAACAAUAUUUUUAAAGGUUCAAUAAUGGUCUCAUCAGAAAUAACUUGAGCCCCAAAUCCAAAUCACUGGCUAACGUACCUACCCCACAAUGGUAGAUACUUGCAAAAUUGUAAUAUUUAGAUUUUACAUGUUACAUUUUAGAUUUUGGAGAAAUCUCCCUCAAAAUGAGUCGGUCUAAGGGAUCUAUUUUCAUCUACCUACAAUAUAAUCUAUCAUACCAUACUCUAAGAUGUAAUAAACACUUUCUAUACAUAUAAGCUGACUAUGUGAAUGUGAGCUUAUAUGUGUGUUCAUCUUUGUGCAGUUCUUGAUAUCAGUAUGAUUAUUAAAUCUGAGUGGAAUGCCCAAAGAAAAGCAGGUGGUAUAAGAUACGACAUCAGCUUUUUUUUUUUUACACUAAACAAAAAUGACAUUUGGCAUACAAAAGUAACUUUAUUGAGGAAGUCACUUGGAGGUCUAAAAAUAUAUUAAAUGAUGCCUAAAAAUACCAGUUAUGAGGAUUCAGGCCAAAUAUUGUGAUCUUUCACCUUAAAAAUAUUUUCCGACUCAUUUUAUUUUAUAUUGAGACGUCCUCACAUUUAAUCGAUGCUAGGAAUACUGCUGAUUUUGGGUUCUCUUGAAACACUGAGUAAUGGAGAUUUGUACACUAUGUUACUUUUCCCUAUUUAUACAAAUGGAGUUCAAAAAUGUGAGUCUACCAAUACUCUGUAAAGUGCAAAAACAAUUCUAGUUUUAUCAGUAAUAGUCCUAAUAAUAAAACCACCACUUAUUGAGUACUUAUUAUAUUCCAGAUGCCCUUUUCAUAUAUUACCAUGAUUAAUAGCAAUCCUACUGGAUACAUAUUACCCUUAUUUUAUAGGUGAGGUAACUAUUUAAGAAGUUAAAAAAAAAACUUGCCCAAAGACACUCAGUUAUCCAGUGACAGAGCCAGACUGUGAACCUGCUGGCUCACCCCGAAGGUCAGGCUCUUGACUCCUUUUAAUGUGAGUGAAGGGAAAGUGACAGUACUAGAGAGAAUGCGACAGGCCCUGUCUUAGGUAUGGCGCCCUGGGAGAAGCAGGAAGAGAACCAGUGGCUUCGACUCAGAUUUCCCUUGUUUUAAAAACAAAAGCUCUUUUCUAAUAGGAACGUAGAUGGAGCACACAUACUCUAGUCAAGCAAAUCAUAGAAACCUUUCACUCCAUAUCCACUAUUUCCUCAGCCAGUGCUCAGUCUCAUUUCAACCAUAACAUAGUAAAUGAAUUCUGGCUAAUACGAAGAUAAUUAGCAGGAAAAUCAGGGAAAUUGGCAGAUGCGGCUCAAGCAGGAGAAAAGAAAUUCACUGAAGGCCUCUUUGGGCUUUUAAUCAAGUGUGUAAGGUACUCCUUUAGAGGAGCUACUGAAUAAUUCUAUUUGAGUCACACAAGUGAUUAGGAAAAGGUAAGGGGCAUCCCACAAGGGGACAAUUCUAGUGAACACCACACGUAAAGGAAGGUUGACAGAACAGGUAUGCAAUCACCCUGACCUACACAGGGAGGGAGGCUGGGCAGCAAGAGGGCUGAGCAGGAAAUGGAGCCCCUCAGUUGGCUGCAAUUACCACUCCACAGGGGGCUAGGGCUGGGGAGGGGAAAGGAUAUGAAGGGCAAGUAAAUUAAUGGAUGUGGCAUUCCUAAGGAGAAUGGGAACAGGGAGUUAGCCUCCAAUAAAUCAAACGCUCCAGACCCCCAAACGCACAGAUGAGCAGUGCCUCUUCUGAGUUUGGCCUGCAGGUAUGAUACAUGCAUGUACACGUGUGCACACAUGCACAGACUGAAUUUUGUGAAGUAAAUUGCACAUCCAAGAGUUUGGGGGGACAACAACAGAAAAACAUUUACGUCAUUCUUGAUUCCAAAAUAUUCUGCUGGAAAAUGUCCAAAAUCUAAUAAAAUUUAAGUUAUAUCUCUCUGAGAGCUCUAACUGUGAAAAAUAAAGAAAAAAAUAAGCCAGUUUCAUUUGA